CUGAGCUCAAAGCAGUCCACCCACCUUGGCCUCCCAAAGUGCUGGGAUUACAGGUGUGAGCCAUCUUGCUCAUUCUAGUUUAAACUUUUGAGUGGUUUGUGUCUCCUGAUUGGACUCCUACAAAUACAGAAUUGAUGCUAGGAAGGGUACCAGGAGAUAGACGCACACAGAUGGGAUUUGGGAAUAGGUUUGGUUAUCCAAGGAGCAGUGCUGAGCUCCUUGCUAAUGGGAUAUGGGAGGCUGGUGAUUUCCAGAAAGUGACCUCACAAUGACUCAAGCUACCACAUACUGUUGAUUGUGAAAUGCCAGUUGAAGCAUAUGUCCUGCGAGCUUAGGGGUGCUACAAGUUGACCACAGCAGCAGUAAAGAUGACUCUGAAGAAUGGCAUGGGAUGGAUCCUUUCGAAUGCAUUUGAGCAGCGGUCUCCAACCACAGGGCCACAGAGCUGGAGGUGAGCAGCAGAUGUCUUUUUGUCACUUCCAGCUGGAUCUACCAUGAAAGACUUCUGAAUCCAGGAAGAGAGACUGACUGGGCAACAUGUUAUUCAGGGUCUCCCUCUGUUGUCCAAGGCUGGAGUGUAGUAGUGCUA
rnacentral:lncRNA from 1 species